rnacentral:rRNA from 1 species
UACGGAGGGUGCGAGCGUUGUCCGGAAUCACUGGGCGUAAAGGGCGCGUAGGCGGCGCGGAUAGUCGGCGGUGAAAGCCCGGAGCUCAACUCCGGGUCGGCCGUCGAUACUUCCGGGCUUGAGCACUGUAGAGGCAGAUGGAAUUCCGGGUGUAGCGGUGGAAUGCGUAGAGAUCCGGAAGAACACCGGUGGCGAAGGCGGCUCUCUGGGACGGUACUGACGCUGAGACGCGAAAGCGUGGGGAGGCGAACGG